CCAUCAACAGCAAGAAAAGAUAAAGGAACAACUACAAGUUACGAUAGAAAGCUCGUUCUCCAAACAUUUGCUAUGGUAUAACAAUAGAUUCUCGCUUCAGGGGUUGAGGAAUUUUA